ACCCUUAGUAUAAAAUCCGAACCCUAGCACCCCUGCGCCAUGAUGCAUGGCUAUCCUGAGCUACCUUUAUUCAUUGAGCAGCUGCUGGGAACGGGCGUAUUGAGUGAAAUCGCGCCUCUGCUCGACUGUGACCAGGCCCUACACCAGUCCUUCUAUUUCCAAGCCCCUGGUGCUGCUACGGUGGCCUGCUCGGCAGCCGUUGCUCCCUCCCCAGCACCCUCUGCUCGAUGCGCCCCCUCUCUGCUCCCUCUCCACGUUUCCACCAUAGUAGGGAUAGAGCAUGCGGCCACCGCGGUGGAUCCACGCCGGCAUCACGGGUCCUCCUUUGGGGGUGUGCCGGGGAACUUCGCCGGGCCGUGGGGAGCGCACUGGUGGGAAGUCGUGGUGCACUGGUGACCGCGUGGCUUUGGGAAUUUGACGUCGGACUUCAUGGACAUCACUGUGUCGCAUGCGUCGUGGGCUGCCUCACUCACCUCUCGAUCGCCGGACAAGAGCAGGUGGUUCAAGAGGAGCCACACAUCGAGGAGUUUGACUUGAUCUAGGUGGUGUCUCCUAGUUGACUUUAUGGCACGAAGGAUGUACUUUAGUUUGUUUUAUAAUUAACUUUAACUUUGUAAGACUUAUGCUAUGUAAUAAGUACUCUGAUGAUAUUGUGACAUUUAUCUCUAUACACUCUGUUAUUA